GUGGAAGUCUCAUUCAUUUCACUAUAUCCAAUGGGUUGGUUGUCCCGAGUUGGGUUGACUGUUUGCUGGUAAACAGAAUUUUCAGGCCAUCACAGAUGAUUGGGUUCUAGAAGAGGACUUUGGCAAUGAACAAACUGAGAACUUCUCUACCAAUAUAGCUGACGUGUUUUGGGUUCUAGCAUGGUUGUUCUUUUUGUUGUAAAGGAUCAUAGUGUAAUCUUGGUUCUGAACCUUUGUUGAAUUAAUAAUACAAAAAUAGAUUUUGUAACCAUGUUCAUUGUGACCUCGGUCAAUGUAUAAAGAUUUUGGUUGUCGUGAUUUGCAAUUGGCAAUGCAGGAGGAGCACAGGUGGAAUUAAAAAAAUCUGAGGACUAUGCAAAAGUUUAGAUCACAAAAUGGUGGAGGCAUGAAUGUCAUAGUAGACCGGCAUAAUCAUUUAGCACGAGACGCAUUCAAGGUGAAAUGUUUUAUCAAAUUUCUCUUUGAUGUCUUUUUAGUCUUUCCAAUGAUUGUAUCACUAAUUGUUUAUAUUCCCUUUUGACAUCCUAAAUUGUUAAAGUGAAGUCAACCCGUCAGCUCUAUGUCCAUACACUUGGCCUCCUAUGUGAUUUCGUUUCUCUCCCAUUUAGACUGUUCUAGGGUUCCCACAGUGCAAUGGAGGGAAUGUAUAUACAAGAACUGAAAUUUUAGUUGAUUCCUUUGUUUUAUUCAUCCUCAUCUAUGGCUUCUCACCUUUAGACAUGUUAUUUUUAUUUGAAGUCUGCAAUUAUUAGAGCUUGAAGUAGAUUUAGACUUUUGCAGGAAGGUUACUAUCUUCAUGUUCCCAAAUAUUAGUAUAUUGGGCUACAUGCCUCUGAAGAUUGUCCCUAAUUGUAAAUUUUGCGGUGCAAAAAAGGUUUGAAUAUGAGUUACCUGGAUUUUCUUGCGGCAAGGGUUCAAUCAAGUUAGUUUCUGAUCUGGUAACUGCUGAACUACACAAUCUAUAUAUAGGCCGCACUGAAGAAUCUGAACAUUUUCGCACAUACAGGACAUAUAAUAAUCUGUUUGCAUUUACGUCGGUUGCUGUGAAUUACGAUAAAGAAUUGGCAAAAAGGAACCAUGGUAUUUAUACUUUUAGAGUUCAAGGUCAGAUGUAUCAUUUUACAAAUGACUUUCCUGUUUGGAUUGGCUUAUUUUAUGUGCUUUUAAGCCAAAAUAGUUUUUAAUUACUUUUGUAGUAUUUGGGUAAAAUCAAAAAAAUGCUUUUAGGCACUUAUUUUUAAGCCAAAAUGACAAAGAUAAGUCAAAAGUCUUCUAACGUAUGGCUUUUGGCUGAUAGGUUAAAAGCCAUAAGUCAAUCCAAACGGGCUCUUACUCCCUCCUGAUCAAAUAGCAAGAAGCCUACAGCUAUACUUACGAUUAUACGGCUACAAAAUUAUUUACGUAACAAAAAUAGUAACAACUGCUCCACAACUAUAUUGUAUCCCUUCCUGUGCACCAAAUUACAGCUUAAUGACUAACUAUUUUGUUUAAACAGAUCGGAGAACAAAAGCUGAGCGCGACAAUGCUCACCCAGAUGGUGUCGCAUGUAUAGCUGCAUUUUGCUAAGCCACACUAAUCAUUUUACCAGCAAUGCUUCAUGAUAGAAGCUUUGGCGCUUGAUAAAAGCUUCACAUAUUCGCUCUACUCACCAAAAUGCCCCAAAUUUUUGUGUAGAUUACUGUAAAGUGUGUGCCUAUGUUUGUAGAGACAAGUGCUGCACAUUUUGGAUAUGGAAAAGUACUAUUGUUGCACUUAA